rnacentral:rRNA from 1 species
AACGAACGCUGGCGGCAGGCUUAACACAUGCAAGUCGAGCGCCCCGCAAGGGGAGCGGCAGACGGGUGAGUAACGCGUGGGAAUCUACCGUACCCUACGGAAUAGCUCCGGGAAACUGGAAUUAAUACCGUAUACGCCCUACGGGGGAAAGAUUUAUCGGGGUAUGAUGAGCCCGCGUUGGAUUAACUAGUUGGUGGGGUAAAGGCCUACCAAGGCGACGAUCCAUAGCUGGUCUGAGAGGAUGAUCAGCCACAUUGGGACUGAGACACGGCCCAAACUCCUACGGGAGGCAGCAGUGGGGAAUAUUGGACAAUGGGCGCAAGCCUGAUCCAGCCAUGCCGCGUGAGUGAUGAAGGUCUUAGGAUUGUAAAGCUCUUUCACCGAUGAAGAUAAUGACGGUAGUCGGAGAAGAAGCCCCGGCUAACUUCGUGCCAGCCGCCGCAGUAAUAC